GACGAAGGAUGCAAGCGUUAUCCGGAUUCAUUGGGUUUAAAGGGAGCGUAGGCGGCCUUGUAAGUCAGUGGUGAAAUCUCUCGGCUUAACCGAGAAAUUGCCAUUGAUACUGCAGGGCUUGAGUACAGUUGCCGUUGGCGGAAUAUGACAUGUAGUGGUGAAAUACAUAGAGAUGUCAUAGAACACCGAUUGCGAAGGCAGCUAACGAAACUGUAACUGACGCUGAGGCUCGAAAGUGCGGGGAUCAAACAGG
rnacentral:rRNA from 1 species